AUAUAUAUAUAUAUGUGUGUGUGUGUAUAUUUGUUACGGGCUUCUUUCAGUUUCCGUCUACCAAAUCCAUUCACAAGGCAUUGGUCGGCCCGAGGCUAUAUUAGAAGACACUUGCCCAAGGUGCCACGCAGUGGGACUGAACCCGGAAUCAUUUGGUUGCUAAGCAAGCUACUUACCACACAACCAC